rnacentral:rRNA from 3 species
AAGUACCCCGAGGAAAAGAAAUCAACCGAGAUUCCCCCAGUAGCGGCGAGCGAACGGGGAGCAGCCCAGAGUCUGAAUCAGCUUGUGUGUUAGUGGAACGGUCUGGAAAGUCCGACGGUACAGGGUGAUAGUCCCGUACACCAAAAUGCACAGGUUGUGAACUCGAAGAGUAGGGCGGGACACGUGGUAUCCUGUCUGAAUAUGGGGGGACCAUCCUCCAAGGCUAAAUACUCCUGACUGACCGAUAGUGAACCAGUACCGUGAGGGAAAGGCGAAAAGAACCCCGGCGAGGGGAGUGAAAAAGAACCU